rnacentral:lncRNA from 1 species
UGUGAAUUGCACAGAUUGGGUAAUGGAACACUAAACAUUUAUACUUGAAAAUGACAGCCUUAAAUGCUUAUAUCAGUCACAAAUCUAGGAUGUACUGUCUUUGUAUGUGAGCUUUGUAGAGAUUUUUUAAAAUACAAGCAUCAUCUUCCCCAUUGAAGAGUGGAGAGUCUACUGGAUAACUAGUCAGAAGCUUUCUCUCAGAACUGGACAUUGGAUAUCUUCCUUCUCUCAAGAAAUGGUGGUUCACACUAUCAUGGCCUUAUGUAUGGUAAAAUGGAAUCUUCUGUAACUUUCUCAUUUAAUUGUGGUCUAUUUUUAGGUAGACUUGAAGGAAUUGUAUAAAUCAGUUAACAUAUUAUCUGAGUUGUCCAACACAGGGUAUAAGGGAAUUAAGACAGUAAAGUAUUAUACAUUUCCUAGUUGCCUUUGGGAAUUUGAUGGGGAUUUUUUUUUUCAAAUUUACAUCUUUGAAACCCUUCACACUUGGGUUACUAGGCAAUGAAAAUUAAAAUCUAGAAUUUGUCCUGCCCUAAGAGAUGGAUUAGGAAUCUGGAAACACAAACUGGUGUCACCUGCUUCUUGACUGGGCCUCAGUUUCCUCACCUUACAGUAUGGAAGGUAGAAGAGACGAUCUCCAGUGUCUCUCCCAUCUAUCAGUUCUUAGUGUCUUCUUUCCUGAUCACAGUAAUCGUUGUUGGAUACCACCUUCUCCAGAUGGUAAAGAUCAUGUACACAGACUUUCAGAACUCUAAGGGAAGAUGAUUGUAUUAUCUGAACCUGGGGUGCGUUAAGUGCUCUACUGACCUUGAUGGGGUUUGGAGUUUGUCAUUGCUUAUUCAGAGCUUUUUAAUUGCUUUAGUUAUUUAGUGUUUCUUUUUGCAAUCCUUCCUGCUACUUAAACUAAAAACCAAAGAUUUGUUUUCUAUUCAUAAGCAGAUUGUAGAAAAAUUGCCUUACUUUCAGAGACAUGUUUUUUCAUUAAAGGCUUAGGUUUUAAUAGAAAUUCAGAUGAAUCUCUGGAAUCACUCUUUCAAACUAGUAAACUAUUUGGGAAAUAAAAUACACUUCAAAAAUACUUUAUUGCCAUGAAUUUUGCUAGUAAAUGCAAAUAUAU